UGCGUAGGUGACGAGCGUUGUCCGGAUUUACUGGGCGUAAAGAGCGCGCAGGCGGUCGUUCAAGUCGAGUGUGAAAGCCCCCGGCUCAACUGGGGAGGGUCACUCGAUACUGAUCGACUCGAAGGCAGGAGAGGGAAGUGGAAUUCCCGGUGUAGUGGUGAAAUGCGUAGAUAUCGGGAGGAACACCAGUGGCGAAGGCGACUUCCUGGCCUGUUCUUGACGCUGAGGCGCGAAAGCUAGGGGAGCAAACGGG
rnacentral:rRNA from 1 species